GUACGUCUGAGAGAAUUGAAGGAGCAAAUGCUGUUUCUGGAAUUGCCUCGGCAUUUAAUGGAAACAGACCAGUAGCCUUAAAACCGUUUAUAAUGUUACUAUGUGUCAUGCCUUUAGACCAAACAUUUGAAAGUAUGAUGUUAAAACGUGAUUUGGUCAGCUUUUUGUUAGGAUUCUGAUCCAAGAAUAAUAAUACCUCAUUAUCCCAAUGAUGCUCAAAUGAACGAGAUACAGAUUUGUCGAGGGGUUGAAGCUCAUGUGUUGUAUUCGAUGGCAAACAGUAGAGAUCUAUAUCAAGUGAGUCUCCAGCAUCAACAAUUGACAAAUCAAGAUGACAAGCUGCACCAUCAAAAACUAAGAGGCACCUUCCUGGACUUUUGUAUCGGGCUAAGUGCUUGAGGAAUUCUUUAAAAAGUUCGUUAGUCGUGUAGCCUUUACUUGAUUUUUCCACUAGAGUUCCUGGUGGCAAAUUAUCAUGUAAUUCUGGCUUUAGCCUCUUUCCUUUAAAAAUAAUCAUAGGAGGUAUUGGUAUUCCAAGGGCAUUGACACAUCCUGCAAUUGUCACACUCUCUGCAUGUUCUGACGAUUGAAAGUGAACACGUUUUACCCCUUUCUUAGCUAAAACGGUUGGCUGCUGGUGAAUAGUUAAGCGGCAUCCUUUUUCAUCCAUAUUUUAAAGUCUUUCAGGGUGAUUAAUUAUAUCUAGAUCAUCAUACAUUUUCCCUAUUUUUGAAAAAUGAUCAUCAACUAUAAAUUUAUUAAGUUUUUGAGCCCUAGCUGGAUUCAUAAACUGUGCUUUUCUUUUAGAAAUUACAGGAUUUCUCUUCAUAAAAGCCUUUAGCCAGUCUUUACCAGCAAGUUUUGAAGUUGCAUCAAAUUGAUGAGCAAUUUUAUUAUCUUCGCAGAAUCUGAAUACCAAUCGACGAAGGAUCCGUGGAGCCACAGAAACUGGACGUCCUUGUUGAAGCCCAGAUAUAGAAGAAAAUGUCCUUUUUCAACAAGACCGAUAAGAGAACUGAAGAUUGUGAGAGAACAUCCCCAAUUAAUCUACUUCAGAAACAGCUACAAUGGGAUGUGGGAAUCAAGCCCCAUAACAGACAGAAAAUUUCGACCUAAUAAACUGCUUAAAGCUGGAGAAUUUAAUCUUCCCGAUUUGUUAUUUGAUGGUCCAUUACCAUUGAGUCAUGCAAAGUGGAAAGAUUUACAAGAUCUUAAAAAAUU